ACUGUACAUGAUGACAACUGGCUCCUUCUACUGAACUGUCAUGAGGAAAAUGCCAAAAAAAAAAAAAAAAAUCAGCAGCACUUACAAU
rnacentral:snoRNA from 1 species